UACGUAGGGGGCAAGCGUUGUCCGGAUUUACUGGGCGUAAAGAGCGCGCAGGCGGUCGUUCAAGUCGCGUGUGAAAGCCCCCGGCUCAACUGGGGAGGGUCACGCGAUACUGAUCGACUCGAAGGCAGGAGAGGGUAGUGGAAUUCCCGGUGUAGUGGUGAAAUGCGUAGAUAUCGGGAGGAACACCAGUGGCGAAGGCGACUACCUGGCCUGUUCUUGACGCUGAGGUACGAAAGCGUGGGGAGCAAACAGG
rnacentral:rRNA from 1 species